GUUAAUUGAGCCACACCCAUUCUGGUGCUCCAUAAGAGGGCCAGAGUUCUACACGGGAGGGAUGCUUGAGUUGUGCAAGUGACUCGACUGUUGUGGUAUUGUUUGUUUUAAGUAAGAAUAUGUUUUUCACCAACAACAUUGUGCAUGAAGUUGAUUUAAAUUGAUACCGGUGAGACACGUUAUCGAAAGAAGAUGUGAGUAAAUUAAUUUCUAUGCUUUAUUUAGACAAUAUGAUAUUCAAGCUCAUGUAAAUACCUUAUUGGACUAAAUAUUUGUAGUGCUAACACCAGUCCUCAAUAGCUUUUUCUCCACGGAGUGGUGAACAGGUUUAGCCUAUCUGGGUUAAUCUGUCGUCGUGGUUUUACCACUCCACCCAUUACCAAUGUAAUCUGAACUUUUAUCUGUAUGGAGAUUCUUUCAUGAACCACAUCCAGAGUGCAACCCGGUUUACCUUGUCUCUGAAUAAACCACGUUUUGAACCGUUAACACUCCGAUUCAUGACCUACCCCGAAACAACAAUACCAUCAAAAUUAUGUUUCAACAGUGUAGAACCUUAUUGAUUUCAGAUGUUUGUGUUCAGUUCAUGCAUUUUAUUUGCUAUUGGUUGAUUGUUUGCAUGGUUGAGGAAAUCUGGAAUUGAAACAUAGCACACGGCAUACCCUCAAUUUAGCCUUGGUUCUUUGAUGCGCUAAUAUAGUAAAUAAACUUCUUAGUGAAGUUCUGCCGACCUAUUAGUGACCACUAGAGAGCGAUAGUGUGGCGGUUUCCUCACAUUUUUAGUGAUCUAGCAAUGAUGCAAAGAAAGAGUUAAUUCAUGUAUCUAACUUUUACCAAACUAACACCAUGUAUGAUGGCAUCAAAUCAUGGUGAUCGUGUUCAUUGGGGAUUCACUGUAUUAUACAUAAUAGUUCACAAUAAACGCGUUUGGCUUCCUCAGACAGACUGAUUGGCUUAGAGCUGCUGACGUCAUCAGUGCCGUUCAUGCAUUGCCUUGAAUCACGGACCCUUAUACUCGUUAUUUUUUGCGUUGAACGUAGUUUGAUAACACGCUAUAUGUUGUUGAGAUAUAGUGGUACUUCUGUAGGCUUCUUGUAUUUAAAGGAAGUUUUCCCCGUAAAACCGCUGAUGAGAGAGAUAUUUCUGGGAAUGGGUACUGUAGGUCGAACAAGUUUGAUGGCAGAAACAAAACCCAAGAACCUCUGGGAACUGAAGAAGCCUGAAUGUUCACUCCAGGUUCGCAUUCAGGAACAUGACUUGUUGCGCCUUGGAGGGAGACAGACGGCUGCGCCUCUCUGAAAUGAUCAGCCCCAUCUUGCUGAACACGCGUUCAGAUGGCACUGACGUGGCGACCACAGACAAUCUCUCCAGCAUCAGCUGAG
ensembl:lncRNA